UACGUAGGUGGCGAGCGUUGUCCGGAUUUACUGGGCGUAAAGAGCGCGCAGGCGGUCGUGCAAGUCGGAUGUGAAAGCCCCCGGCUCAACUGGGGAGGGUCAUUCGAUACUGGUCGACUUGAAGGCGGGAGAGGGAAGCGGAAUUCCCGGUGUAGUGGUGAAAUGCGUAGAUAUCGGGAGGAACACCAGUGGCGAAGGCGGCUUCCUGGCCCGUUCUUGACGAUGAGGCGCGAAAGCUAGGGGAGCAAACGGG
rnacentral:rRNA from 1 species